rnacentral:rRNA from 1 species
GACGAACGCUGGCGGCGUGCCUAACACAUGCAAGUCGAGCGGAGUCGAUCGACGGAAGCCUUCGGGCGGAAGAUGGUUGACUUAGCGGCGGAUGGGUGAGUAACGCGUGGGCAACCUGCCUCGAAGACCGGGAUAACAGCCCGAAAGGGCUGCUAAUACCGGAUGUGGUCAAGGAUCCGCAUGGAUUUUUGAUUAAAGGGGAAACCCGUUUCGAGAUGGGCCCGCGUCCUAUCAGCUAGUUGGUGAGGUAAAAGCCCACCAAGGCGACGACGGGUAGCCGGCCUGAGAGGUGACCGGCCACACUGGAACUGAGACACGGUCCAGACUCCUACGGGGGCAGCAGUGGGGAAUCUUCCACAAUGGGCGAAAGCCUGAUGGAGCGACGCCGCGUGAGCGAAGAAGGCCUUCGGGUUGUAAAGCUCUGUCUGGAGGGACGAAGGAAGUGACGGUACCUCCGGAGGAAGCCACGGCUAACUAACGUG